AACCAGACAAUUUCCCACUUAUUUAAACACCAUGUCCUAGAGGAGUACAUGCACUCUUCUCCACAAAUAACAAAGCAUUUAGCAAACAGAUCCAAAGCCUUUUCUUGCUUGUAUUCAUCCUUGUCAAACAAAGGAUUAAGAGUAUGGCAGCCAAGUCUUCACUGAAGCUAGCUCUUUUAGUUGCUCUCCUGAUAGUUGUAUCUUAUUCGCAGAUGGUUGCUGGUGAUUUUGUUAACAGGGGACCCAUAGUUUCUUUCGCUUGCACACAGGAUGCAGAUUGCGUAGGUAAGAAAUGCCCGUGUGAUCAACGCUGCACUUGUCAAGCAAAGACAUGUACGUGUGCUCAACAUCCUGAAGAAAUAUCGGGACGUUGAUUAUUACUAGUGAUGAACUAAACCGGAUGUGUGCUUCUUCUCAUCAUUAAUAAAAUAUACCUUUACUAUAUAA